AGGAUUGACAGAUUGAUAGCUCUUUCUUGAUUCUUUGGGUGGUGGUGCAUGGCCGUUCUUAGUUGGUGGAGUGAUUUGUCUGGUUAAUUCCGUUAACGAAACGAGACCUUAACCUGCUAAAUAGGGUACGGGAAUAGGCUUCGGCUGUCCCGUGAUCGCUUCUUAGAGGGACUUUGCGGUUAUAAAUCGCAAGGAAGUUUAAGGCAAUAACAGGUCUGUGAUGCCCUUAGAUGUCCUGGGCUGCACGCGCGCUACACUGAUGCGUUCAUCGAGUUUAUCCUUGGCCGAGANGGCCUGGGGGUAAUCUUUAGUACGCAUCGUGAUGGGGAUCGAUUAUUGCAAUUAUUAAUCGUGAACGAGAAUGCGUAUAUGCGCAUCACCAGCUUGAGGGGCGCCCGUUC
rnacentral:rRNA from 1 species